GCCUGGGUGGCUCAGUUGGUUGAGCGUCUGACUUCGGCUCAGGUCAUGAUCUUGCAGCUCGUGAGUUUGAGCCCCGUGUCGGGCU
rfam:Felis catus isolate Cinnamon breed Abyssinian chromosome B1, whole genome shotgun sequence.